rnacentral:rRNA from 1 species
GAUGAACGCUAGCGGGAGGCUUAACACAUGCAAGUCGAGGGGCAGCACGGGGUAGCAAUACUCUGGUGGCGACCGGCGCACGGGUGAGUAACGCGUAUGCAACCUGCCCUUUACCGGAAAAUAACCCGGAGAAAUCCGGACUAAUAUUCCAUGUUAUUACAGAAAGGCAUCUUUUUAUAAUCAAAGUUUACAGCGAAAGCUGUUUGCGGUAAAGGAGGGGCAUGCGUAACAUUAGCUAGUUGGCAGGGUAACGGCCUGCCAAGGCGAUGAUGUUUAGGGGGCCUGAGAGGGUGAUCCCCCACACUGGUACUGAGACACGGACCAGACUCCUACGGGAGGCAGCAGUGAGGAAUAUUGGUCAAUGGGCGACAGCCUGAACCAGCCAUCCCGCGUGAAGGAAGAAUGCGCUAUGCGUUGUAAACUUCUUUUCCAGGAGAAUAAAAUGCCAUACGUGUAUGGUACUGAAGGUAUCCUGGGAAUAAGCAUCGGCUAACUCCGUGCCAGCAGCCGCGGUAAUACGGAGGAUGCAAGCGUUAUCCGGAUUUAUUGGGUUUAAAGGGUGCGUAGGCGGGAUUAUAAGUCAGUGGUGAAAACCUGCAGCUUAACUGUAGACUUGCCAUUGAUACUGUAGUUCUUGAGUAUGGUCAAGGCAGGCGGAAUGUGUAAUGUAGCGGUGAAAUGCUUAGAUAUUACACAGAACACCAAUUGCGAAGGCAGCUUGCUGGGCCAUUACUGACGCUGAGGCACGAAAGCGUGGGGAUCAAACAGGAUUAGGAUACCCUGGUAGUCCACGCCGUAAACGAUGAUCACUAGCUGUUGGCGAUAUACCGUUCAGCGGCAAAGCAAAAGCAUUAAGUGAUCCACCUGGGGAGUACAGCCGCAAGGCUGAAACUCAAAGGAAUUGACGGGGGCCCGCACAAGCGGAGGAACAUGUGGUUUAAUUCGAUGAUACGCGAGGAACCUUACCUGGGCUUAAAUGUAGAGUGCAUUUCCGGGAAACCGGAAUUUUCUUCGGAACUCUUUACAAGGUGCUGCAUGGUUGUCGUCAGCUCGUGCCGUGAGGUGUCGGGUUAAGUCCCAUAACGAGCGCAACCCCUAUCGUUAGUUGCCAUCGGGUAAUGCCGGGGACUCUAGCGAAACUGCCGGUGUAAACCGCGAGGAAGGUGGGGA